rnacentral:rRNA from 1 species
UACAGAGGGGGCAAGCGUUGUUCGGAAUUACUGGGCGUAAAGGGCGCGUAGGCGGCCGCCUAAGUCAGACGUGAAAUCCCUCGGCUCAACCGGGGAACUGCGUCUGAUACUGGGUGGCUUGAAUCCGGGAGAGGGAUGCGGAAUUCCAGGUGUAGCGGUGAAAUGCGUAGAUAUCUGGAGGAACACCGGUGGCGAAGGCGGCAUCCUGGACCGAAACUGACGCUGAGGCGCGAAAGCGUGGGGAGCGAACAGG